rnacentral:rRNA from 1 species
GAUGAACGCUGGCGGCGUGCCUAAUACAUGCAAGUCGAGCGAAUGGAUUAAGAGCUUGCUCUUAUGAAGUUAGCGGCGGACGGGUGAGUAACACGUGGGUAACCUGCCCAUAAGACUGGGAUAACUCCGGGAAACCGGGGCUAACACCGGAUAACAUUUUGAACCGCAUGGUUCGAAAUUGAAAGGCGGCUUCGGCUGUCACUUAUGGAUGGACCCGCGUCGCAUUAGCUAGUUGGUGAGGUAACGGCUCACCAAGGCAACGAUGCGUAGCCGACCUGGGAGGGUGAUCGGCCACACUGGGACUGAGACACGGCCCAGACUCCUACGGGAGGCAGCAGUAGGGAAUCUUCCGCAAUGGACGAAAGUCUGACGGAGCAACGCCGCGUGAGUGGUGAAGGCUUUCGGGUCGUAAAACUCUGUUGUUAGGGAAGAACAAGUGCUAGUUGAAUAAGCUGGCACCUUGACGGUACCUAACCAGAAAGCCACGGCUAACUACGUGCCAGCCGCCGCUGUAA